GAUGAACGCUGGCGGCGUGCCUAAUACAUGCAAGUCGAGCGAACAGAUGAGAAGCUUGCUUCUCUGAUGUUAGCGGCGGACGGGUGAGUAACACGUGGGUAACCUACCUAUAAGACUGGGAUAACUCCGGGAAACCGGGGCUAAUACCGGAUAAUUGAAAGAACCUCCUGGUUCUUUUAUGAAAGGCGGCUUCGGCUGUCACUUAAGGAUGGGCCCGCGGCGCAUUAGCUAGUUGGUGAGGUAACGGCUCACCAAGGCAACGAUGCGUAGCCGACCUGAGAGGGUGAUCGGCCACACUGGGACUGAGACACGGCCCAGACUCCUACGGGAGGCAGCAGUAGGGAAUCUUCCGCAAUGGACGAAAGUCUGACGGAGCAACGCCGCGUGAGUGAAGAAGGUUUUCGGAUCGUAAAGCUCUGUUGUCAGGGAAGAACAAGUGCCAUAGUAACUGAUGGUACCUUGACGGUACCUGACCAGAAAGCCACGGCUAACUACGUGCCAGCCGCCGCAGUA
rnacentral:rRNA from 1 species